rnacentral:rRNA from 1 species
GACGAACGCUGGCGGCGUGCUUAACACAUGCAAGUCGAACGGAAAGGCCCUGCUUUUGUGGGGUGCUCGAGUGGCGAACGGGUGAGUAACACGUGAGUAACCUGCCCUUGACUUUGGGAUAACUUCAGGAAACUGGGGCUAAUACCGGAUAGGAGCUCCUGCUGCAUGGUGGGGGUUGGAAAGUUUCGGCGGUUGGGGAUGGACUCGCGGCUUAUCAGCUUGUUGGUGGGGUAGUGGCUUACCAAGGCUUUGACGGGUAGCCGGCCUGAGAGGGUGACCGGCCAGAGUGGGAGUGAGAUACGGCCAAGGCGGCGACGGGAGGCGGAGGUGCGGAAUGUGGGACAAGGGGGGCAAGGCUGUUGAAGCAGCGCCGGGUGGGGGAUGACGGCGUGCGGGCUGUAAACCGCUUUCGCCUGUGACGAAGCGUGCGUGACGGUAAUGGGUAAAGAAGCACCGGCUAACUACGUG